GCGCCCGCGGAGGACUCAGCCUCGCCCAUGAAUAUGCCUUGCGGGCGGCAGGGUGAUGUACAGUCCGGUGAUCAGCAAUUUUGCUGAUUCAAACUCAUUC
rnacentral:sRNA from 1 species